AGAGGGGGGGCAAGCGUUAUUCGGAAUUAUUGGGCGGUAAAAGGGCGCGUAGGCGGGCCGAUCAAGUGGGUAGGGUGAAAUCCCUCGGCUCAACCGAGGAACUGCCUCCCAAACUGACUGGCUUGAGUCCGGGAGAGGUGAGUGGAAUUCCCAGUGUAGCGGUGAAAUGCGUAGAUAUUGGGAGGAACACCGGUGGCGAAGGCGGCUCACUGGACCGGAACUGACGCUGAGGCGCGAAAGCGUGGGGAGCAAACGGGAUUAGAUACCCCGGUAGUCCACGCCGUAAACGAUGAGUGCUUGGUGUAGCGGGUAUCGACCCCUGCUGUGCCGAAGUUAACGCAUUAAGCACUCCGCCUGGGGAGUACGGUCGCAAAGGCUG
rnacentral:rRNA from 1 species